rnacentral:rRNA from 1 species
GACGAACGCUGGCGGCGUGCCUAAUACAUGCAAGUCGAGCGGAUGACGGAGGAGCUUGCUCCUCCUGAUUCAGCGGCGGACGGGUGAGUAACACGUGGGCAACCUGCCCUGUAGAUUGGGACAACUCCGGGAAACCGGGGCUAAUACCGAAUAAUCCUUCGGACCUCAUGGUCCGAUGUUGAAAGACGGUUUCGGCUGUCACUACAGGAUGGGCCCGCGGCGCAUUAGCUAGUUGGUGAGGUAACGGCUCACCAAGGCCACGAUGCGUAGCCGACCUGAGAGGGUGAUCGGCCACACUGGGACUGAGACACGGCCCAGACUCCUACGGGAGGCGGCAGUAGGGAAUCUUCCACAAUGGACGAAAGUCUGAUGGAGCAACGCCGCGUGAGUGAAGAAGGUUCUCGGAUCGUAAAACUCUGUUGUGAGGGAAGAACAAGUACCGGAGUAACUGCCGGUGCCUUGACGGUACCUCAUUAGAAAGCCACGGCUAACUACGUGCCAGCCGCCGCCGUAAAAC